AUGGAAUCCGAACAGGGGAAAUGCAGAAGAUAUGGAUGGACAAUGAGACGGAGGGGGUAACAGAUUUAUUAAUGGAGCAACCUUUUUUAAAAUGCACAUAUUAAAUUUAUGAGAACACAAACUUUUAUGGUGGAGGACUGGAGGUCCUGAGAAAGAAGAUCAAGGAAGGCCAGAUGGUAACAAAUAUAAGGGCGGCAUUUCAUUUCGUGCUGGAAUGAGAUUUUCUGUUCCACAGAUCAAGGUAACACCGAAAUUAAGUUGGCCUUUUCUCUAUAUUUGGACAGUCAAAUGAUAUACUUCACCUACUCCUCUUUUUUUAACGACAGGGCACUAUUGUCAUGUAUAUCAGUACUUAAUCGACCUAUUAAUUCAUUUUUUUUUUCUGUUUGAUUUCUUUUCUUGUUUAGUAUGGUACAAUACGAUUUAAAAUUGUAUUUCUGUUUAUGAAAAGUUAUAACUACGGAAACUCGACUGCUAAAUUGGUGUAAGGGUUUCGGUAGUUCGUUCUUUUUUAGUGAUGGCAAUAGCGGCAGUGGGUCAUGUGCUUUCCGGGGUGAUGACUGUUUCGAAAAGUUCGGUGAAGGAACUUAUUGUCUUUCCUCGUUGAUACUGAAGUUUUGUCUGAACUUACAAUUUUGUGCUGCAAUGUUGGUUUUUAGUCAAGUAUACAUGGCCAAGGAAAUCCGAACAGGGGAAAUUGCUGUUCUGAAGAAGAUAUGGAUGGACAAUGAGAGGGUCCUGAGAAAGAAGAUCAAGGAAGGCAAAGCAAGUGUUCACAUUCAGUAUUUGCUAGACAACAUUUUAUUUGGUCAUAAAAACUUUUAGCUGUCAAUUUGGUUUCUUGAAAUUGAUUUGCUUAAACUAUAUAUAUGCAGAUGGUAUCAUGGUAACAAAUAUAAGGGCGGCAUUGUAUUUCAUCCAGGAAUGAAAAUUAAGUUCCCGUUUGCUCUAUUUUUGGACGGUCAAAUGGUAUACUUACCUACUCUUCUUAAAGGGCAGGGCUUCACGCCUUCACUAUUGUCAAGUAAAUCAAGUACUAAAUCAAGUACUUAAUCGUGACAGUAAACUGAGUAAAGGUAUUGUCAUUGCAAGUAUUAAAUUUAUGAAAUUGUGAACAAGACAAAUGAAUAUUGAGACAAUUCUAAUACAUUUAUUAGCUGAAAUCUAUGAUUUCUGAAGUGCGGAUUGAUUCUGCAUAUUUUUUUUGGUAA